ACGUAGGUGGCAAGCGUUGUCCGGAUUUAUUGGGCGUAAAGCGAGCGCAGGCGGUUUCUUAAGUCUGAUGUGAAAGCCUUCGGCUCAACCGAAGAAGUGCAUCUGAAACUGUGGAGCUUGAGUACAGAAGAGGAAAGUGGAAUUCCAUGUGUAGCGGUGAAAUGCGUAGAUAUAUGGAAGAACACCAGUGGCGAAGGCGGCUUUCUGGCCUGAUACUGACACUGAGGCGCGAAGGCAUGGGUAGCAAACAG
rnacentral:rRNA from 1 species